rnacentral:tRNA from 1 species
GCGCCCGUAGCUCAGCUGGAUAGAGCCCUCGCCUUCUAAGCGAGUCGUCGGUGGUUCGAGUCCACCCGGGCGCG